UUUCGCAAUGCCCGAAAGGGUGACGAAGCGACGCCGCGUGCGGGAGGAAGGCCUUCGGGUUGUAAACCGCUGUCGGGAGUUAAGAAAUGCAAGGAUGUUAAUAGCGUUCUUGCUUGACUAAGGCUCCGGAGGAAGCCACGGCUAACUCUGUGCCAGCAGCCGCGGUAAUACAGAGGCGGCAAGCGUUGUUCGGAAUUAUUGGGCGUAAAGAGCACGUAGGCGGCUGUGUAAGUCGGUUGUGAAAGCCUUCCGCUCAACGGAAGAACGGCAUCCGAUACUGCAUGGCUUGAGUGUGGGAGGGGAGAGUGGAACUUCUGGUGGAGCGGUGAAAUGCGUAGAUAUCAGAAGGAACACCGGCGGCGAAGGCGACUCUCUGGUCCAUAACUGACGCUGAGUGUGCGAAAGCUAGGGGAGCAAACGGGAUUAGAUACCCCGGUAGUCCUAGCCGUAAACGAUGGGCACUAAGUAGAGGGGUU
rnacentral:rRNA from 1 species